AGCAGCCGCGGUAAUUCCAGCUCCAAUAGCGUAUAUUAAAGUUGUUGCAGUUAAAAGCUCGUAGUUGAAUUUCGGGAUCAAUUAAUCGGUCGUGCCUCUGGUACGCACUGGUUUUAUUGGUUUCUCCCUUCUGACGAACCAGGAUGUCAUUAAUUUGGUGUCUUGGAGAAUCAGGACUGUUACUUUGAAAAAUUGAGUGUUUAAAGCAGGCUUCUAGGCAUGAAUACAUUAGCAUGGAAUAAUGAAAUAGGACGUUUGAUCCUAUUUUGUGGUUUCUAGGAUC
rnacentral:misc_RNA from 1 species